rnacentral:ncRNA from 2 species
GUUGCGGGACUUGACGAUUUUCGCGAUAGAAUUGCGGCCGCCAAGCUCGGAAGCGGGUGAAAAUCCCGCGCGGUCGCGCCACUGUGACCGGUUUCGCCGUCGUCCGACGGCGGUGCCGGAAGUCAGACCUGGGCUCGGUGCCUGCAUUCG